CAGACACAGCGCGCUCCGGUUGAGCCGGCUUCGUUUCUACUUCGCUCUCUCGGCGCUCCGCUUGGGCUGCCCUCGGGUCAUGUCUUCCAAGAAGAAUCGAAAGCGGCUGAACCUAAGCAUGGAAAAUGGUUCGCCCUUGUCCUCUGCGGCUUCCUCUCGUGCGGGGGCCCCAGACUCGGCGGCAGCUGGGACUCUGGUGGUGACCAACUUCCUAGAAAAGGUAGACGCCAAAGUUCCUAAAACAUUCCAGAAUUCCCUUGUUCAUCUUGGACUCAACACUAUGAAGUCUGCAAAUAUAUGUAUAGGUCGACCAGUGCUGCUUACCAGCUUGAACGGAAAGCAAGAGGUUUAUACAGCCUGGCCAGUGGCAGGGUUUCCUGGAGGCAAGGUUGGCCUGAGUGAGAUGGCACAGAAGAAUGUUGGUGUGAGGGCUGGUGAUGCCAUCCAGGUGCAGCCUCUUGUGGGUGCUGUGCUACAGGCUCAGAAAAUGGACUUGGCACUGAGUGACAAAGAUCGGGAAAUUAAUGAAGAAGAACUGACUUCUUGUAUUCUGAGAAAACUAGAUGGCAAGAUUGUUUUACCAGGCAACUUUCUGUAUUGUACCUUCUAUGGACGACUAUGCAAAUUACAAGUGUUGCAAGUGAAAGGAGCAGAUGGCAUGAUACUGGGAAGGCCUCAGAGUGACUCUAAUACUGCUCAGGGAAUGGCCUCUGAACAGUCCAGCACAGAAACCAGUAGCUUGGAUAUAUCCUUCCAGCUAAGCCAUUUAGAUCUGGAAGAGCCCCAGAGUCCAGCAUCAAGAAGUACUCCUUGUAAACCUGUUGAUGACAGAAUUACGAAUAAAGCCAGUGACAUUUUGUUGGAUGUUACACAGAGCCCUGUGGCUGGCAGUGGACUUCAGCUAGAGAAAGUCACAGCUCUUACAUGUAAUCUUGAGUCUGCCAGAGAAGGAAAUAAGCAACUAAUUGUUGAUGAGAGAUUGCUAAAAUCUGCCAAAACAGGAGCAAAGUGUAAUACUGACACUUUUUAUUUUAUUUCUUCAACAACAAGAAUCAAUCUUAGAAAGAUUCAUAUAAAUUCAAAAGGACAAGAAAACCAAUUCAAAGUAACUUAUGAUAUGAUAGGAGGCUUAAACAGUCAGUUGAAAGCAAUUAGAGAAAUGAUAGAAUUGCCUCUCAAACAACCUGAACUUUUCAAGAGUUAUGGAAUUCCAGCUCCUAGAGGAGUGUUACUCUAUGGCCCUCCGGGUACUGGAAAGACAAUGAUUGCCAAGGCCAUUGCCAAUGAAGUUGGAGCCUAUGUUUCUGUAAUUAAUGGUCCUGAAAUUAUAAGCAAAUUCUAUGGUGAGACUGAAGCAAAGCUACGUCAGAUAUUUGCUGAAGCCACUCUACGGCAUCCAUCAAUUAUUUUUAUUGAUGAGCUGGAUGCUCUUUGCCCUAAAAGAGAAGGAGCUCAGAAUGAAGUGGAAAAAAGAGUUGUAGCUUCCCUCUUAACACUGAUGGAUGGCUUUGGCUCAGAAGCAAGUGAAGGACGGGUGUUAGUCCUUGGGGCCACAAAUCGCCCACAAGCAUUAGAUGCUGCUCUCCGAAGACCUGGACGAUUUGAUAAAGAGAUUGAGAUUGGAGUUCCCAAUGCUCAGGACCGGCUAGAUAUUCUCCAGAAACUUCUUCAAAGAGUACCCCAUUCGCUCACUAAAACUGAACUGCUACAGCUGGCAAAUAGUGCUCAUGGAUAUGUUGGAGCAGACUUGAAAGCUUUGUGUAAUGAAGCAGGUCUCUGUGCCUUGCGAAGAGUCCUGAGGAAACAGCCUAACCUCCCUGAUGGCAAAGUGGCUGGAUUGGUGAAGAUUACUCUGAAUGAUUUCUUGCAGGGAAUGAAUGGCAUCAGGCCCAGUGCCAUGAGAGAAGUAGCAAUUGAUGUCCCAAAUGUGUCCUGGUCAGAUAUAGGAGGACUAGAGAAUAUCAAACUGAAAUUGAAACAGGCUGUGGAAUGGCCCUUGAAACAUCCAGAGUCUUUCAUCCGAAUGGGUAUUCAGCCACCUAAAGGAGUUCUUCUAUAUGGGCCACCUGGAUGCUCUAAAACAAUGAUAGCAAAGGCCUUGGCCAAUGAGAGUGGACUGAAUUUUCUAUCUAUAAAGGGGCCUGAAUUAAUGAAUAAAUAUGUUGGUGAAUCUGAAAGAGCAGUCAGAGAGAUCUUCCGAAAAGCAAGAGCAGUGGCUCCUUCCAUUAUUUUCUUUGAUGAACUUGAUGCCUUGGCAGUUGAAAGAGGCAGUUCUCCAGGUGCUGGGAAUGUGGCAGACCGUGUUUUGGCUCAGCUCUUAACGGAAAUGGAUGGGAUUGAACAGCUAAAGGAUGUGACAAUUUUGGCAGCUACUAAUCGUCCGGAUAGGAUAGACAAGGCUUUGAUGCGGCCUGGAAGAAUAGACAGAAUCAUCUACGUACCGUUACCAGAUGCAGCAACAAGAAGAGAAAUAUUUAACCUGCAGUUUCACUCUAUGCCAAUCAGUAAUGAAGUGGAACUAGACGAACUCAUCCUCCAAACCCAUACAUAUUCAGGAGCAGAGGAACAGCUGAAGACCCAACCGAGAACAGCAUAACAUCAUCACACCACUAAGAGGCAAGAGAAGACCUACAUGUUGGAUGCACUUGGCAAGAUGUGUUGUUCCAACUGGUCCUCCAGACUAAGGUGCAGACCCCAGGCCCAGGCUGGGACUUAAGGAACCCCGUUCUCCUGGCUGCAGAGAAUGGUCAAAGGAAAAAACCCGCACAAGGAAAGUUGGAGGCCUUCCCCAAGACUGAUUCAGCUUUCUCAAGCUUUUCCUUCAAUUCCACAAGCUGUCCUUCAAAAAAAGAAAAAUAUUUUCCAGCGACAAAUGGUGGCGUACCCCUGCAAUCCCAGUAUUGAGGCAGGAAGAUCUCAACUUCAAGCCCAGUCUAGGCUGCUUAGGGACUUAGCGAAAUCCUGUUUUAAAACAAAAACUAAAAAGGGGCUCUGGAUGGAGCUCAGUGCAAAGGCCCUUGAUUCAAUUCCUAGUAUUUAAAAAAAAAAAAACCCAAAACAAAACAAAAAAAACUCUCUCACUUUGCUUAUGUCUGUUUGAGUCAGAUUUCUGUCACAUGUGACAUGAAGAAUUUUUUGUCUUUUAUUCUCCUUAAAUUUUUCAACUUGUAGGCCAAUAAUACACUUGGUUAAAUAUAUACUUCUUCUAUAUCCUAAACUAAUUCAGUAGAUGCCUUUUCCCCAUCAUGAAUUACUGCAGGAAAAGCAUACUUAAUGCCUGACUGUGUGCAUAAUCUAUAGAGAAAUCUAAAAUAACAAGUCAGUAAUGAUGGAGGAAAGAAAGUAAAUGCAAAAGGCUACUUUUAAAAAGUAUACUGUAGAUUGAACUUCCUGUGGUUCUAGUUCCCCAAUGGAAGAAUCUGAAUUUGAAAGCAGUAAAUGUAAGAUCUGGUUUUAGUAUGGGCUCACUGGAGCUUUCUGAGUUCUACCAUCACGACAGAGCCAAGUGGGUUCUGGUUCAGCACUUGUGUAUCUGGGCUGUUAUUUCCCACCGUAGUCUCAUUUUUAUCACCCAUAAAAACAGACAUGAUAACCACUUAUCUCUCAGGCUUGUUUGAAGAUUUCUUGUUGAGAUAACAUAUAUAACUGACCUAGCCCAGGAGUCCUAGGAAUCACAAUUUAUGACAAAGUUUAUGUAUUCACAUGUGUACAGCCAGUGUAAUCCCAGGGAAGCAGGCACACAGGUUAAAGGACAGAGAGUUCUGGUAGGCAGGAGACAAGCGUCUCCAGUGCAUUACCAGGAUGUCACAGCCAGUUGCCUCUUCUCACAUCUCUCUCUUCCCAAAAGUCUAGUCUGCAGCUCUCCCUCCAUUCUGCCCUGGGGAGGAAGGGAGGAAACAUAAUUGGCUGCUCCCAAUUCCCAUUUGAGAGUGCAGGACCUGGCUUCACUGGAAGCUGAUGCUGCAAGUUCCACAGGGUGAGCUGUGAAAAAUCUUCAGCACUCUCUGUCUGCCUAUGUGCAGCCUGCAGCCUGAUGGGUAGCCAGGUGAGCUGUUGUAAGAGUGUGUCCACCAAGAGACCUCACAGAUCUAACCCUUCAGUGCAACAAGAAGCCCCAAAGCAGGAAAUGAAAGGUCAGGCAAUGUCAAGGGAGGUAGCGUUAGGUCAUGUGCAUCCAUCACAUGAAGGACUGCAAACAGCUGCUGCAGCCGGACCAGCCAGCUAAGCAGGUGAAGCACCCCAUGACACAAUCCUGCCAGAAAGGCAGCAACAAGCUCCCUCCUGCUGAGAACAGGACAUUUUCUCUGCACCUUACAAGAACAUGGAGGUGCCUGGCCCUCUUGGUCAUGAGCAGAAAAUCAUGGCUGAGCCUUCUAUCCUAGGCCCAGAAUAGUGACUAUGUCUAGUUUGGGGACCUGCACUGGACAAUGUCUCCUAAUGGUAGUUUCCUUCCUCCAACAAGUGCUUGGGCAUGUGCUGAAUUAUCUGUAGCUCUCACAGUAUUAAAAUGUAAAAAAUUCUUUUGAGACAGGGUCUCAUUCUUAGUUCAGGCUGGCUUAAACUUCCUGUGUAGCC